rnacentral:tRNA from 1 species
GGAUCGUGAGCAGAGCUGGCUACUGCACGGGAUUGUAAAUCCCGCGUCCUUCGGGACAUGCUUCGUUCGAGUCGAAGACGAUCCA